UCUCCAGAGAACUUAGACAACAUCCUCUUCCUCAAAAAAGCACAAACAGACACGCCGUGUCAUUUUUGGGAAGGAAACUGAGGCUGAAGGUUGAGCUGAGGUCCAGCAGUCAACACACUCUAAGAACCAGAGCAAUAUAGAGAUGUCUUUCAUCACUGUGGGGCUGGCACCAAAGGGCCAGAUCCCUGGCCAGGGUGGACUUCCUAAUGUGGCCACAGUGAUGUGCAAGAAGUUUCACAAUGAUAAGAGUGACGCAGGCCUGCCUGUGUGAGUUCUGAUUGUUCCCCGCUGUGUUAACACCCAGAAUGAGUACUUCCAGCUGUUGAAAGAUGUCAGCAUAUUUAUAUGAACUGCUUCAUGGCUCCUAGGGAAAUUUCCUGAAGCAAAGACCACCAGGUUCCUGAUUCUGUGGAGAUAUGACUGGGCUUGCA